rnacentral:rRNA from 1 species
GACCUCGGAUCAAGUAGGAAUACCCGCUGAACUUAAGCAUANA